rnacentral:rRNA from 1 species
AUUGAACGCUGGCGGCAGGCCUAACACAUGCAAGUCGAGCGGAGCGGCGGACGGGUGAGUAAUGCCUAGGAAUCUGCAUGGUAGUGGGGGAUAAAGUACGGAAACGGGCGCUAAUACAGCAUUCUAUUAGAUGAGCCUAGGUCGGAGUAGAUAGUGGGUGGGGUAAAGGCCUACAAAGGGGACGAUCCGUAACUGGUCUGGGAGGAUGAUCAGUAACACUGGAACUGAGAAACGGGCCAGACUCCUACGGGAGGCAGCAGUGGGGAAGAUUGGACAAUGGGCGAAAGCCUGAUCCAGCCAUGCCGUGUGUGUGAAGAAGGUCUUCGGAUUGUAAAGCACUUUAAGUUGGGAGGCGUUACCAACAGAAUAAGCACCGGCUAACUUCGUGCCAGCAGCCGCGGUAAUAC